AGCAGUCGCCGCGGGAACACGUAGGGUGCGAGCGUUAAUCGGAAUUACUGGGCGUAAAGCGUGCGCAGGCGGUUGUGUAAGACAGGUGUGAAAUCCCCGGGCUUAACCUGGGAACUGCGCUUGUGACUGCACAGCUAGAGUAUGGCAGAGGGGGGUGGAAUUCCACGUGUAGCAGUGAAAUGCGUAGAGAUGUGGAGGAACACCGAUGGCGAAGGCAGCCCCCUGGGCCAAUACUGACGCUCAUGCACGAAAGCGUGGGGAGCAAACAGGAUUAGAUACCCCCGUAGUCCCUGUCUCUUAUAC
rnacentral:rRNA from 1 species